UACAAUAUAAGAAAGUUUACUGAUCUGGAAAAUACAUUAUUGCCCCUUUGCUUCUACAAUCUGCCACGUGGACACGUUCCUUGCCUUCCUUUUUCGUUCUCUGCUUUUCUAAUUUUCUAAAACCUUUUUCUACCUUUCUAAAACAUAUCAACACACGUGAACUCAAUAAAUCCAACAACUACCUUUUUCCAAAUAUUUGAACUAUCUUUCUUGGAAAUAGAGAUAUGGCUUUUCUCCUCCUCAGACUCUAAAGUAUUUCAUUUCCUUUCACUCACUACCUUUCCAGAUCUCUCUCCAAACCCUUUUCCAUCUUCAACAUUCCUCGGUCUUCAACCUUCCUUUCCUCCUCCCUUUUCAUUAUUCAUUCGUCUUCGACCUUCGAAAUCUCUUUUCUAACUCCUUGCCGUCUUCAACCUCUGUCCGAUGGCAACAUAACUCUUCUCUCUCCGAUGGCUUUUUCGUUUCGUCUCUCUUCUCUUCCGAUUCACCUUUCAUUUUCUGUCUUCGCAUGCGAUGGUGAUUCUCUCUUUUCCGGCGAGAGUCCAGUUGUGUUGUUGUUGAUUCAGAUGCGGAUUUGAACGUUUGUUGAUGAUGAUGUUGUUGUUCGUUGAACAUGAUAAUGAACAGUUUUGAUGGAGGGCUGAGUGGUUCAUGAUUUUAACCUUUCUGGUGAGAUUGUUCAAACCCAUUCUCUUUUAAUCUCUCUUCUUCUAUCUCUUUACUUUCUGAAGGGUUUGAUGUAUUUGGAAAAUUAUGAAAGGAAAUAUUUGGGUUUUUGUUUGAUUUUUGUGUAUCUGGCUUUUCUGGUGAACAUGAAUAAUGCUCAUUUUCUUCUGUUACAACCGAUUUCUGAAGGUUUUUGGUUGUUUUGAGAAAGUGAUGAUUUAGGGUUCUGGUUGUUGGUUCUGCGGUUGUGUAUUUUGCAGAUGGUGAAACAAAGAGGAAUCCCUUCAUAACUGUGUAAAAUGAUUUUCUUUAGCGCAACUGGUGUCAUGGAAAUCAGAGAUAAUGAGGCGGAACUAUGUAACUUACUGCAACUGGUCAAGGGAAUUUUCCUAUAAAAGAGUAUCAUCAGAGCUGGAUGAGUCGCAGAAGAAUGCAACAGCUCAAAAAAUGUUUCUUGCCUCAUACGGGAUGGAGACGUUGUCUAAAUUCAUGGCGGCGGAAGGAAGGCAUCGUCGUGCUUGCCGACAGUGUUGGAUUCAACAGGAACUGGUGUAGCUGGCUGAACACAGUUGGGACUGAUGGAAAAUGGUUUGAUUAAUGAUUUGAAGAAAAACAGAGUGUUUGAUAUUGAAAGAAAUAAAGGGAGAGGGAGGUCAAAGGGAGCUGACUCUGAAUAGUCUCUGAAUUGGCUCGGUUUCAACGGGAACCAGUUUGUUAUUCGUUUCGGUUGAGCUUUAUGCAAGGCUGCAGUUCUGAUAUGGUUUAUUUUUUCCAGUAUGAAUAUGCAUGGUAAAUGGUUGAAUGGUAUUUUGGCUUAAGUGUGGUUUAGUGGUUCUGAAUUUGUAUUGUACUGAUGGGGUCACGGGUCUCAUUACCUUAUGAGGUUACAUUUCGAUCGGUAAAGUGUGAAUGAGUCUUUUCCUUGAAUGCCUAAUUGUGAAUUUUUGUGAAUUUCUGUAGCACUUAGCAAUUUGGUGCGUUUUGUUAUGUCAGCUUAAAGGCGAUAAUAUUGUUCUCAAGUGUGAUGGCUGAUAUUCAAUACAACUUCAUACUUAAUCAUGUCCUGUGGAGGGUGACGAUUACUAUUCCGAAACAGAUUGAUAAACAUACUGGAGUUGUGUAUGCAGUAGAGUUCUCCCACCAAAGUGGGCUCAAUUAAAUCAUGAAACUUAUUUGUUGUACAGUCAGACAUUGGCGUGAGGAUAUAUUAUCCGGUUUCGGGGUCGAAUUCGUAUAAUUAUUCCGCAGUUGUCUGGUUGUUCGAAUGGUGUUUCCGACCUGCUGAUGGAAAAGAUUGCGUGCUCCGUUGUAGAUUUGGCACUGGUGGCAAAUCUUGAAACAUUUAAUUAUUUCCAGUGGUUGGAAUUUCGAAAACUCUUGAUAAUGAAAUUUUCUGCAUUUUAUAGUUACUGUGAGUUUUUUCCAACAAGUCAGCUUUUGCCAAGUAUAUAUAAAUACAAAUUUGGUUCAGAAGCUUGCAGUAUUUGGGUGGACCCGUCAAAAAUCUUGAAAGUUUGUCGAAAGCACGGCGAAGUCUUAGUUAUAGUCUGAAAACAACUCUCGGUAGCAUGGUUUCUCACUUGGUUCUUUGACUAUUGGAUUAGCGCGACAUCAACGAUUGUUA